GCGCCGGUGGAAGGAACCCGUUGCGUGGGUACGGGUGCUUGAGGCGACGCCCCAAGAGCGAGGAUUUCCUCUUCCACCCCUCUCCCCUCUCCUCGAGCUCCUCGGCGACACCGAUGGAGCUCCUCAUCGCACUCAGUCACGGCCGCCGGCGAUGGGAGAGAGAAGGAGAGAGGCGUGGCGCCGGCGGCAGUGGCGAGAAGGAGAGGGAGGCGCGGCUGGAGAAAGAGAGGGAGAGUCAAGAGGCGGCGACGACCUAGGACGGCGCCGGGAUGUCAGAUCCGCGGCGGGGGUGGCGGAGGCGACAGAUCCGCGGCGGAGUAGGCUACUCUCGUCGCCCUCGCCGACGAAGCUUCGUCCGGCCGCCGCCUCGUCCGCCUCGAGCUCGCCGCGCGCUCGUCGUCUGCCGCCUCGAGUUUGCCGUCCGCCACCUCGAUGUGGCGUGGCCGGUGCUGCUCCAUCUGCCGGGGGGCUAGAUCCGGCUUCGGCGGCACCGGAUCUGCUGCCUCCGGGGUCACCGCCGCUACCUUCCACGAGAGAGAGAGAGAGAGGGAGAGAGCGGUGGGAGAGAGAGCGGCGACGGUGACUCGGUGCGCUCUCGCGUGCGUGCGAUGGAGAAAUAGAGAGAGGAGGGGGAAGAGAGGGGUAGAAUAGGAAAGAGAGGAAGAAGAGAGAAAUAUGUUUUUUUGGGUUGGGACACUUAUUGAGCUACCCUGUAUUGUAAGGGCGAGUACUUUACUCUAAGAGUGUCUCAGAUUAUGGAUGCCUAAAAAAUGCAGAGGAGUAUCCAGUGUCCGGUAGAGAUACCACGGACGAGGGCAAACGGCCAAACUAGCGAUGGCGUGGAGGGCGACGUUGGGACGACUUAUGGGAUCACCCGCUAGCGUAGCGACACCCGGUCGUAUCACUUCACUCCGCGGUUCAUUCAUUGGUUCCAAUUAUAAAAUGCCCUGCAGUACUGCGCUAACUGACAUGUGGGUCUUCCCAAUCCCGACUCGUCGCACGGUGCCGUGCACAUCACCGCCUGAUGGCAAUCGGUUGUGAGGCUGUCACGUGCUACUUGCGUCCGCGUACCCCGUGGUCCCCGUGGAUUCAUGGACCGUGGUCAUGGCAGCGGCGCGCACGCACGAACCAGCACACCAGCAAAUCCGUGCAGCGAACCAGCGAAUCGGAGAAUGAAGGCAACCCGCCGGCGCGGUGCCUUCGUCAGGGAAGGCGCAGCGGCCAGCGGGGACCGGGUAACUCGAAGGAUCUGGCGAUCUAUCAUGGCAGUUAGCGCUCGGCAGAUGGGCUGAUAGCGGAAGCGGUGGCGGAGCGGAGGGGCUUUAGACCGAUGGCUACGGAACAUGGAGCCCCUGGAGGCUGGAGACGGAGACUUUGGGUACGUAUACGAAUGCAGCUGCAUCUCGACGUACUAGUAACAGUGUAAGGAAGUACUAAUAACACUCUCAUUACCAUCAAAAUUAUGCUGCACAUCAGUACAUUACCAAACCAGACAUGAGACUGCCAGGAACACACCUCCGAGUCUCUCCCUAACUAUUUCUUCACUCAAGAACAAAGCAAUUGCCGAGGAAGCGAGAUACUCUCGAAGUCUCAAGCCAUACGCUACGGGGCGGAAAGGGGGGAAAACUACACACCAACAACUAUGCACAAUUCCUAUGCCCACCACCGUAGUACACCAGAACUUCCAUCAGUUUGCAGGCGCUGCUGCUCAAGUGUUGAGCUGUGGCUCCCAGUUCUUGCCUCCGGGGCACCACGACGCUCAUCUCCUGAAGCUGUGAUCCCUGUUCUUUCCGGGCACCACGAGGCUGCCCAGGGCCUUGGCGAUCUGCAGCUUGAGCUGCCCCCUCUUCAGCGGAGGCCUCUUCUCCUUGUUGCAGCUGCAGCUGUUGCAGGGAUAGCUGUACUCCAUUGCUUGUAAGUUGUUUUAACUUGCUCUUCUCCUCUCCUCUGAGCUGCUGCUGUUGCUGCUGCUGGUGGUGGUGGUGGUUCCGUGGUUUGUGUGUUUGCUGGAGCCUGGAGAAGGAGAGUGCUGCUGGGCUGGCUUGGAGAGUUGGAGAUGGAUGAAGAGCCAAGUCGCCG